CCGACGUGGACAUCCGGUGAGUUUCUCUCCCGGCUCUGUCUUGGUGGCGUGCGGGAGCGUAGCCUCGCGCUAAGACGUAUAUUCCCCUUCCACAACGUCGCACAAAAAGUUUCGUCCCCGACUCUGUUCGGCGAGGAUGAACGUCCUGCAUAUUCCUAAAACUUCCCAGAGCCCCUUAGGGGGCUGUUACUGGGGAGCCAAACCAUGCAGUGCACAUUU